UGGGGAAUCUUGGACAAUGGGGGCAACCCUGAUCCAGCCAUGCCGCGUGAGUGAUGAAGGCCUUAGGGUCGUAAAGCUCUUUCGCCUGUGAAGAUAAUGACGGUAGCAGGUAAAGAAACCCCGGCUAACUCCGUGCCAGCAGCCGCGGUAAUACGGAGGGGGUUAGCGUUGUUCGGAAUUACUGGGCGUAAAGCGCACGUAGGCGGAUCGGAAAGUUGGGGGUGAAAUCCCGGGGGCUCAACCCCGGAACUGCCUCCAAAACUAUCGGUCUAGAGUUCGAGAGAGGUGAGUGGAAUUCCAAGUGUAGAGGUGAAAUUCGUAGAUAUUUGGAGGAACACCAGUGGCGAAGGCGGCUCACUGGCUCGAUACUGACGCUGAGGUGCGAAAGUGUGGGGGAGCAAACGAGGAUUAGAUACCCUGGUAGUCCACACCGUAAACGAUGAAUGCCAGUCGUCGGGUAGCAUGCUAUUCGGUGACACACCUAACGGAUUAAGCAUUCCGCCUGGGGAGUACGGUCGCAGAUU
rnacentral:rRNA from 1 species